rnacentral:rRNA from 1 species
UACCCGCACCCCGAGUGGUCGGGACGUUUAUUGGGCCUAAAGCAUCCGUAGCCGGUUCUACAAGUCUUCCGUUAAAUCCACCUGCUUAACAGAUGGGCUGCGGAAGAUACUAUAGAGCUAGGAGGCGGGAGAGGCAAGCGGUACUCGAUGGGUAGGGGUAAAAUCCGUUGAUCCAUUGAAGACCACCAGUGGCGAAGGCGGCUUGCCAGAACGCGCUCGACGGUGAGGGAUGAAAGCUGGGGGAGCAAACGGG